rnacentral:miRNA from 1 species
CGCUCGGCCGGGGCUGGCGCCGCGCCCGCCGGUCGGUCGCUCGGUCGGUCGGGCAGCC